CCGAAGCUGCGGCAGCGACACUGUGUGUUGUUGGGUAGGGGAGCGUUCUGUAAGCCUGUGAAGGUGUGUCGUGAGGCAUGCUGGAGGUAUCAGAAGUGCGAAUGCUGACAUAAGUAACGAUAAAGCGGGUGAAAAGCCCGCUCGCCGGAAGACCAAGGGUUCCUGUCCAACGUUAAUCGGGGCAGGGUGAGUCGACCCCUAAGGCGAGGCCGAAAGGCGUAGUCGAUGGGAAACGGGUUAAUAUUCCCGUACUUGGUGUUACUGCGAAGGGGGGACGGAGAAGGCUAUGUUGGCCGGGCGACGGUUGUCCCGGUUUAAGCGUGUAGGUGUGUGUUCCAGGUAAAUCCGGUUCACUUUAACACUGAGGCGUGACGACGAGGCACUACGGUGCUGAAGCAACAAAUGCCCUGCUUCCAGGAAAAGCCUCUAAGCAUCAGGUAACAUCAAAUCGUACCCCAAACCGACACAGGUGGUCAGGUAGAGAAUACCAAGGCGCUUGAGAGAACUCGGGUGAAGGAACUAGGCAAAAUGGUGCCGUAACUUCGGGAGAAGGCACGCUGACACGUAGGUGAAGUGAUUUACUCAUGGAGCUGAAGUCAGUCGAAGAUACCAGCUGGCUGCAACUGUUUAUUAAAAACACAGCACUGUGCAAACACGAAAGUGGACGUAUACGGUGUGACGCCUGCCCGGUGCCGGAAGGUUAAUUGAUGGGGUCAGCGCAAGCGAAGCUCCUGAUCGAAGCCCCGGUAAACGGCGGCCGUAACUAUAACGGUCCUAAGGUAGCGAAAUUCCUUGUCGGGUAAGUUCCGACCUGCACGAAUGGCGUAAUGAUGGCCAGGCUGUCUCCACCCGAGACUCAGUGAAAUUGAACUCGCUGUGAAGAUGCAGUGUACCCGCGGCAAGACGGAAAGACCCCGUGAACCUUUACUAUAGCUUGACACUGAACAUUGAGCCUUGAUGUGUAGGAUAGGUGGGAGGCUUUGAAGUGUGGACGCCAGUCUGCAUGGAGCCGACCUUGAAAUACCACCCUUUAAUGUUUGAUGUUCUAACGUGGACCCGUUACCCGGGUUGCGGACAGUGUCUGGUGGGUAGUUUGACUGGGGCGGUCUCCUCCUAAAGAGUAACGGAGGAGCACGAAGGUUGGCUAAUCCUGGUCGGACAUCAGGAGGUUAGUGCAAUGGCAUAAGCCAGCUUGACUGCGAGCGUGACGGCGCGAGCAGGUGCGAAAGCAGGUCAUAGUGAUCCGGUGGUUCUGAAUGGAAGGGCCAUCGCUCAACGGAUAAAAGGUACUCCGGGGAUAACAGGCUGAUACCGCCCAAGAGUUCAUAUCGACGGCGGUGUUUGGCACCUCGAUGUCGGCUCAUCACAUCCUGGGGCUGAAGUAGGUCCCAAGGGUAUGGCUGUUCGCCAUUUAAAGUGGUACGCGAGCUGGGUUUAGAACGUCGUGAGACAGUUCGGUCCCUAUCUGCCGUGGGCGCUGGAGAACUGAGGGGGGCUGCUCCUAGUACGAGAGGACCGGAGUGGACGCAUCACUGGUGUUCGGGUUGUCAUGCCAAUGGCACUGCCCGGUAGCUAAAUGCGGAAGAGAUAAGUGCUGAAAGCAUCUAAGCACGAAACUUGCCCCGA
rnacentral:rRNA from 2 species